CCCAACCCCCAUCAUACACUCUUCUGCCCCACGCCCCCCAGUCUCCCACCCGUAUACUCUCAAAUACUGCCCACUCCUCGUGUCUCCCUCCUGAGCCCCCACAAAAUCCAUCUCAGCUACUGCAGAUCCUCCCACAGAGCCCAGCCCCCCCUGCACUUCAUAGCCCCAGCCAGCCCCUCCACCACUCAACAUUUAUCAGCCACCAGCAAACACGUGCUGAUUUUAUCCUCUCACCCUGCAGCCACAUCCUCUAAUGGAAAUACUGCAUCCCCACCACCGGAACUGCACCACGGGGUCUGGGCCUUAGCCCAUGGCAUGAGAUCUUCUGGGCAGUCAUGCAAAAGUUGGGGAUUGGUCCUGCUUUGAGCAGGGGGGAGUGAACUAGAUGACCACCUGAGGUCCCUUCCAACCCUGAUAUUCUAUGAAAAGUUGCUGCCUCUUCCCUAGCGAAGAAGGGCAAUGGCGUGUCUGGGAUUUCACCCACCGACUGCCCACUUUGCAGUGCUCUUUACCGUUAGUGUGGAGAGCGGAUGUUCAUUUCGCGAGCCAUUCUGCAUACCUCACAAGGGCCACAAAAGCACAUCGCCAGUACAUCCCUGCAGAUGGUUCCCUGCAUACACCAGAUAAAAUGGGAGGGCUAUUAUCAACCAUAUCCUAAAUCCAAUAUUCUGUUGAUUUGAAAUGGUCACAGGUUUGUGCUUUUACAUGGCUUGGAAACACAUGUGUGCUGCAGCCCUAGAAUUUGUUGUCUGACACAAAGCAAAGGGGAAGCAGUUUGCAUGGGCUGAAGACCAGAGCUGAGGCCCAACAGUUCUAACUGCAGCCUCCCAUUCAGAGAGAGACUAUGCUUCUGUUUUCAGCCACAGGACAUCUCCCCACUUCCUCAGCAAGAAAUGCUCUCCCAGUGCUUGAUGCACUUCAAAGUCUCAGCAGUCAGCAGACCUGUUACUUGACACACAGAUCAUCUGGUUUGCCUCAAAAAUGCAUCACAACUGCAGCAAGUACUGUACUUACAUGUGGCACAGUC